GGGAAGGGCAAGAAUUACAUUUUGUUGUCAGUGAUUUCCUAUUUCUAAUUUUGAUCUCUAAGAGAAUAAAAUUUGGCUUGAAAGUAAAGGAGAGAGAAGGAAUAAUGGGAUAAUGUUGAAGGUAGAGGUACUGCUGGGGCUUCUUUUGAAAAUACGGGAAACAGUGCUCUCUGGGAUGCAGCAAGUUAAAGUGAAUGAUCUUCGCUGGCAACGAAGUCCGUGAAUCCAGUAUUUAUAAGAGAAUACAGACACAUACAGUGGCACACAGAACCUGUUGGACACUGUGCAGCUUCUCAAACCUUGGAAUUGGAUUGGACACUGUCAUCCUUGUUUCCUUUCUUACACUGAGUUUCACAGGACUGUACCUGACAAACAACGUUCUCUAGCCUUGGAUGUGACCUGUGUGAUUCUGAGAC